AAUCAACGCUGGCGGCGUGCCUCAGACAUGCAAGUCGAACGCGAAAGGUUCCUUCGGGGACCGAGUAGAGUGGCGCACGGGUGAGUAACACGUAGGUAAUUUGCCUUUGGGUGGGGAAUAACUCAGGGAAACUUGAGCUAAUACCGCAUAAUGCAGCGGCUCGACAUCGAGACAGUUGUUAAAGCGGGGAUUCGCAAGAACCUCGCGCCUAAAGAGAAGCCUGCGGCAGANAGUCUAGUUGGUAAGGUAAUGGCUUACCAAGGCGACGAUCUGUAACCGGCCUGAGAGGGCGGUCGGUCACACUGACACUGACAUACGGGUCAGACUCCUACGGGAGGCAGCAGUCGGGAAUUUU
rnacentral:rRNA from 1 species